AAACCCCAAAACCUCCUCCUUCACGUUCGUUUGCUCCUCCUUGCGCAGCCACCACCUCACCACCGUCGGACGCCGCCUCCGUCGCUGGUAACCUCCUUCUUCUUCGUCGUCCUUCUCCUUCCUCUCCUUCUCUGUUUCUUCUUCAUCCCCGUUUUUCUCCCCUCCUCAAGCUUCUGUUUUUCUUGCACAGCCGCCGCGGCCCAGCCGCGACCACCAAGCCAGCGCCGUCGGCCACCUUCGCGUCGCAAGCCGCCACCAGAACUCCUGCUGUUCUUCCUUCCCGUUCCCUCCUUCCUCCUCCACGCAAGCACAUCAUUGCUCUUGUUUCUGUUUGUUGCGGAAGCCACCACCACCGCACGCACCACCAGGCCUGACAACCUCCGCGAGCCGCCGCUGCCGCGCCGUCGUGUCUCUGACCGCCGACCGCCCACCCUCUCAUCCUCACUUUUGGCGGAGAAUUCUUUGUGGGUGACUUUUGAAUUCGUUAAAGUGGCCUAUCAGUUUGUUUACACAAGUCUCUAAGGAUCAAUAAGCAUUGUCCAUCUACAGGUUUGAAGAUGAUGCAUCAUUGGGAUCGGGAUUAGAGAGCUUGUAUUUAGUUUUGUUUUGCUAAGUGACUUGGUUGGUUAAUUUGGAUUUUAAACUUGUCGUAUUAUUUAUAUUUCCUUAUUUUCGUUGGAUGAUUUUUGGGAUUAAACCUGUAAUCGGUUAUUUACAAACCUAAAGUUAGUUUUAUGUU